UUGGAUGUGGAUUGAUUUAUGUUUGAAUACACUUACUUAAAAGUGAUUCUUAUGAGUUGAUGUUGUUUGGAUAG
rfam:Medicago truncatula strain A17 chromosome 5, whole genome shotgun sequence.